UCUCAACCGUUGAAUAUAAAUCAAAGUUAUCAAAGUUUCUGACUCUCUCUCAGUCUCUUGACACUCACCUCAGGUCCUCACCUCAGACUCAAACUUCACCACUCUUUUUGCCGAUUUGCGAUUUGUCUCUCCUCCUCCCACAUCUGUCGCCUGAAUCCCGAAUCUACCCACACCACCAGUCCUUAUUCCUCUCAGUCCUCACUCCUCACCUGAAUCGCGCCUUCACCUGAAUCUACCCACCCGAAUCCGGCUCCUGAAUCAAGCUCUCGGUCUCAGUCCACACUCCUUCUCACUGCAAAAGAGUUCACUUCUUCCUUGGCCUUCCACAACCCACCUCAGGCAUCCUCAGGCAUAUUUGGUUAAGUUGAGAUUGUGAGUUUUGCAUAUUCGUUUGAUUUUAUUCUUUAACAUCUGGUAGUUUAUAGAAAUUGUUCAAUAAGUGGUACUUUAUUAAUUAUUGACAUCUGAAGUUGUGCUUCAACGACAAUUACAGAGAAUAUGAGUGUUUCAAGGUUGUUUCCAUUGAGGAGCUGGGUUGUUUAUAGAAUAGAAUUUGAAUCUAGUCUUCUUCGUGGGCAUCUA